rnacentral:rRNA from 1 species
AUUGAACGCUGGCGGCAGGCCUAACACAUGCAAGUCGAGCGAGCGGUGGACGGGUGAGUAAUGUAUGGGGACUGCCCGAUAGAGGGGGAUAACUACUGGAAACGGUAGCUAAUACCGCAUACUAUCGGAUUACCCAGAUGGGGUUAGCUAGUAGGUGGGGUAAUGGCUCACCUAGGCGACGAUCCCUAGCUGGUCUGAGAGGAUGAUCAGCCACACUGGGACUGAGACACGGCCCAGACUCCGACGGAGGCAGCAUUGGGGAAUAUUGCACAAUGGGCGCAAGCCUGAUGCAGCCAUGCCGCGUGUGUGAAGAAGGCCUUAGGGUUGUAAAGCACUUUCAGUGGGGAGGCGUUACCCACAGAAGAAGCACCGGCUAACUCCGUGCCAGCAGCCGCGGUAAUAC